AUACGGAGGGUGCAAGCGUUACUCGGAAUCACUGGGCGUAAAGCGCGCGCAGGCGGUCUUUUAAGUUGGAUGUGAAAGCCUACGGCUCAACCGUAGAACUGCAUCCAAAACUAUUAGACUAGAGUGUGGGAGAGGAAGAUGGAAUUAGUUGUGUAGGGGUAAAAUCCGUAGAGAUAACUAGGAAUACCAAAAGCGAAGGCAAUCUUCUGGAACACUACUGACGCUGAGGUGCGAAAGCGUGGGGAGCAAACAGGAUUAGAAACCCUAGUAGUCC
rnacentral:rRNA from 1 species